UACGAAGGGGGCUAGCGUUGCUCGGAAUUACUGGGCGUAAAGCGCACGUAGGCGGCUUUCUAAGUCGGGGGUGAAAUCCUGGAGCUCAACUCCAGAACUGCCUUCGAUACUGGAGAGCUCGAGUCCGGGAGAGGUGAGUGGAACUGCGAGUGUAGAGGUGAAAUUCGUAGAUAUUCGCAAGAACACCAGUGGCGAAGGCGGCUCACUGGACCGGUAUUGACGCUGAGGUGCGAAAGCGUGGGGAGCAAACAGG
rnacentral:rRNA from 1 species